GAGCGGCGAACGGGUGAGUAACACGUGAGCAACCUGCCCCUGACUCUGGGAUAAGCCCGGGAAACUGGGUCUAAUACCGGAUACGACCGCCCCCGGCAUCGGGUGGUGGUGGAAAGUUUUUUCGGUUGGGGAUGGGCUCGCGGCCUAUCAGCUUGUUGGUGGGGUAGUGGCCUACCAAGGCGACGACGGGUAGCCGGCCUGAGAGGGCGACCGGCCACACUGGGACUGAGACACGGCCCAGACUCCUACGGGAGGCAGCAGUGGGGAAUAUUGCGCAAUGGGCGGAAGCCUGACGCAGCGACGCCGCGUGGGGGAUGACGGCCUUCGGGUUGUAAACCUCUUUCAGCAGGGACGAAGUUGACGUGUACCUGCAGAAGAAGCGCCGGCUAACUACGUGCCAGCAGCCGCGGUAAUACGUAGGGCGCAAGCGUUGUCCGGAAUUAUUGGGCGUAAAGAGCUCGUAGGUGGCUGGUCGCNGUCUGCCGUGAAAGCCCGCAGCUUAACUGCGGGUCUGCGGUGGAUACGGNCCGGCUAGAGGUAGGUAGGGGCAAGUGGAAUUCCU
rnacentral:rRNA from 1 species